UUACACUAUGAAGGGAGGUUGCAUAAUCCAGAACACGCUGCUUCCCGUCUCAUCAUUUCGCUUGUUUAGUCAGUGCGGCUAGACUGUGCUUGUUAGAAGAAGACAAAACAGCUUUGUAAUGGCGACGCUCCACCCCCCUUUAACCGGAUACCGGAUGUGUAGAAUCCCGGAUGCUGAAAUGAACUUCAGCUUUAUCUCUGCCAGAAUGAAAUGAGGAGGAAUUGUUUCAUCAGCCUUCAUCAGCCUGUCAGCCCUGCAGAGCGCCGCUAACAAGCUAUUCAUUUGAUUCAGAGGAAGAGGAAUAUCGUACCUGCUCUAUGAUGUAUUCAAGAUAUGACUUCCUGGAGCUGAAGGAUGAAAUUAAGCAAGAAUAUAUAUUUUUGUCCAUAUACUUUGUCAACACCAUAUUCACUGCCAUGUCUUCAUCCAUCUUAUAUAAACCCCACUAAAAUACAUUUAAGGUUAUAAAUUCAACCGCAUGCAUGA